rnacentral:rRNA from 1 species
GUGGGGAAUUUUGGACAAUGGGCGCAAGCCUGAUCCAGCAAUGCCGCGUGAGUGAUGAAGGCCUUAGGGUUGUAAAGCUCUUUCAGUGGGGAAGAUAAUGACGGUACCCACAGAAGAAGCCCCGGCUAACUCCGUGCCAGCAGCCGCGGUAAUACGGAGGGGGCUAGCGUUGUUCGGAAUUACUGGGCGUAAAGCGCACGUAGGCGGAUCGGAAAGUUGGGGGUGAAAUCCCAGGGCUCAACCCUGGAACUGCCUUCAAAACUAUCGGUCUGGAGUCCGAGAGAGGUGAGUGGAAUUCCGAGUGUAGAGGUGAAAUUCGUAGAUAUUCGGAGGAACACCAGUGGCGAAGGCGGCUCACUGGCUCGAUACUGACGCUGAGGUGCGAAAGCGUGGGGAGCAAACAGGAUUAGAAACCCUAGUAGUCC